rnacentral:rRNA from 1 species
GACGAACCGUGCGAACGUUGUUCGGAUUCACUGGGCUUAAAGGGCGCGUAGGCGGAUGGUCAAGUCGGGGGUGAAAUCUUUCAGCUUAACUGGAAAAGUGCCUCCGAUACUGAUCGUCUCGAGGGAGGUAGGGGCAUGUGGAACUUCCGGUGGAGCGGUGAAAUGCGUAGAUAUCGGAAGGAACACCUGUGGCGAAAGCGGCGCACUGGACCACAACUGACGCUGAGGCGCGAAAGCUAGGGGAGCAAACAGG